rnacentral:lncRNA from 1 species
UUCGAUCUUGUUGUCUUGUUUAAACAUGAAAUGUUUGUAAUUCUAGACUCAGCAUAUGAUGCAGAGAGUGAUUUUCACCAGCAUGUGUUGAAUAUUCUGGUAAAUUUAGAUGUCUUCCCCUCUCUUUUUUCUGUAACUUGAUGAUGGUGUCAUGUUUUUUACACACUAAAUAUUUGUGUUAGUUUUAUGACUUUCUCUGGUUUUCUGUGUACUUCUUGUAGAUACCAAAUUUCAAAAGGGUUUGGGACAUGUAUGAGAGCUCAAGAAAUCUUAACUGGAGAAAUUGGACCACGCACUUUAUUGAUGUACCUAAACAAAGCAAUGAGUAAGUUAUUUUUCCUUUUUCUUUUUUGCAUGAAUUUUAAUUUGCUUUUUUACUAUUUUUUCAUGCUGCUCAUACCAAAUUAAUACAUAUUCACAGAUGUCUAUUAUGUCCCUAUUGGAUUUUACGUUUGUAGGCUUGAUUGUGGCAUAUAUACGACACUCUUUCUGAAGCAUUGGAAGCCCAGGAUACUGAUGCAUG